rnacentral:misc_RNA from 1 species
CAACCAUCAAGCCCUGCUUGUGUUGGGGUCCUGCGGCUGCCCGCAGGCCCUAGAAAACCAGUGGCGGGCUCGCUAGUCACACCGAGCGCAGUAAUACAUCUCGCUUUGGUCGUGCGGCGGGUUCUUGCCGUUAAACCACCCCCCCUUCCAAAGG